UUCCGGCAAACGAGGUAAAACGAAUAGUGUUGUUUUUCGGAUCCAUUUUCGAAUGGGAGUACUUACAGGAAAUCCGAGCACCAUAAAACUUUAAAGGUACUGGAAGUGGUAUUACCUUACUAGCAGUCUUGCAGUAAUGUAACUUUUCUUCUGUGUUGUCCCGUUCUUUUCUCCAAAAAUGGGAGUUUUCCAGAAUUACACAAGCUGGUCUAAAAUAGUGUUAGCGGAAAAGAAAAUCUGUAUCUGGAGUCUACAUCAUAAAAAUCAUCUGCAAGUCGCUUUCCAAAUGCUUUCCGAGUAGCUGACCCCAUUUUCACGCUAGCUUCAACCAUUCGCAACCGAUUUUGGACAUUCAGUAAUGGGUGUCAACGAAUCAAUAUUUUAUUAAAAAAUUUAGAGAAGGAACCUAUAUCUUUGUAAUUUAAUAUAACUCCUAGUUCCCGUUUAACAUUGACUCCGUUAAUGCAAUCAAAUAGUUUAACAACACGUCACGGUGAUUGGUGCCAAAUUCUAACGUACGUUGUCAUGUCGACAGGGCAACACAAAGUUCAAAUGAUACUUAUGUGGACGAAAUUGAUCGAUGCACUUUCAAUACGAUUGCUGUUGAGAGAGGAUCUAUAUUGGAAAUAGAAGAGAUGUUUUUAAAAUUUUUAAAGAAUUCUUUUCUUGGAAUUUCGGGACUGAUUCCAUCUUUUGUCAUGCGCAUGCCAAUGUAUUUGGUUUGACGACGUUUCGUCAUCUGAGAGUUUUGUCGUUUUCCAUUAACUUCUACUAUCCUAUUCUAUUUGAAUUGUUAAAAAUUUUUCUGUAUCAUUCUUCUCCCCCACUCUUUCAACCCUAUCCUUUCGUUAGGUUUAUGUGACGUUCUAACGUUUGACUCUUGUGGUAACGAAGAAAAGAGUCCUCAAGAUAGAAAAACGCUUUUAGAAUGAUUUUUAAGAUGACUGUGCACAAUAUUUCACUUACGCCUCGUCCUUCGUCAUUAAUGGCCGUGAAAAGCACCUAGAGUGAUAAAAUACCUCCUUAAGAGAACGUAGUAAUUGGACCAUCAUGCGGGCGAUUGCUUGAAUGUAUUUAUUCCAAUACGUUGCACGGCACUGCGUUGCGGAUUACCUUGGUAGUGUGUUAAAUAUCUUAACAACAUCAAAUAAUGCAAUACUUAAAUGUUCUGCAUUUUUUUAACCUCGUGUACUGCUAGAUAUGGGUGGAGAAUCUAUCUUUUUAUGAACAAUUUUUUCCUAAAAAAUUGCUUUGAAAUUACGCAUGCUAACCCAUUUUUCUUCCUAGAUAUAUCAAACAUUCGGUUGGCUAUCAUUUUCUUGAAAAAAAAUUUCUUCCACAAAUAGCAAUGUUAACAGCGGCACUUCUAGCACUCUAUUGUAUAGUUGGUUUUUAAUAUCAUUACAAUGUAUCCUGUUGUUAUGAUAUAAUACGUUAAUUCGAAAAAUUUGUUAAAUUUUUUGCUGAAGUACGAUAUUGCUGCAUUUCUGUAUUGAAACGACUCGUACCUUCUAUGGGUGUAUCGAUCAAUGCGUUGGGCUUUUUCGUAAAGGAAUAUCAUGAAAUGGAUGCAAAGGUUUAUUUUUGACAAACGUGUUUCUGAGAUUUUUGAGUUGGAGCGUUGACCAUCAAACAUUGUGCGGUUGAGAUUGCCGUGUGUGCAGUUUAAUCAGCGUCAGAGAUUGGAGUUCAUUACAUUUGCAUAUGUUUGAAUUACUUUUUCAUCAUUCACUCCAAUAAUUUG